GGUAUUUAUUAUAUUUAUACAUAUGGAGAUUUGAAUUUAUUUUUUUGGGAGAGAAAAUUAGAUAUGUUCUUUUUGGUUCUACAUGUUAAGGGGAAGAAGUGUUUUCUUUUAAUUACGGGUUGGGUAUCAGGCUUUAAAUAAAUAAAUAAUUAAAUAAGAGCAGGAAAACAAAUAGUGAUAUUGGGAUGGAAAUAUUUAAGGAAGUUUUAGAGUAAACUAGGGUAAAAAAAGGAGAUUCUUUCAACGUGAAAAGUAACCUAGCAACCUUCAUUCAAAUUAGGGCAUUGGUGAAGAGGGUGAGACCUUGCAACUCUGUAGUGAACCAAGCAAGACAUUAGAAAAGUUUAUUUAGAUUCAGGUAAGGGGAGUGGCUAGAAUUAUCUUGUGCUUGUAGUGUUUGAUAUUGUAUGUUAUUUUUCUUAUUAUGUGUUGCAUUGUAUGAGGCUGGUGUUGUUUUUCCUCUACAUGGAAAAUUUGGGGGUGACGAGGGAUGUGUUGAGCGAGGGACUGUCAUGGAGGGGUACAUGGUUUCUCCUUGUUUUAUGCUCUUUGAUUUACACGACAAAAAAAAAAAAUAGGUAGGCAUGAGUUUCUCUUCGUUUACUGAAUGAUAAUUGGGGAAGAGUUGUUAUAUAUAUAUAUAUAUAUGUGUGUGCGCGCGCGCGCGCCAGAGUGAGAGAAGAGCAGGGUAAUUCAAUUAUAUUUUUGGAUAUAUGAUAGAAGUUGGUGGCAAAGUUAAUAGUGAGACACGAUUUUGGUUUUGUUUGAAUUACUUUUAGAGUAGGUAAUAUUUUAUUCAUACUUUGUCAUUCUUUUGAUAAGCUUUUGUGGAGAUUUCCGUGGAAGUAAGACAAGAGUGAUGCAUGGGUUGGUUGCACCAAGUAGAAAUUGUAUAUUGAAGAUCUUGUUGAAGAUCUUUGGGUUGACACAUUGGUACAACAAAAAUUCUUCUUCUCCUCUUACACUUUUUCACUCAACUUAGGCGGUCCAUCUUCUAUAAUAUCUAAAACAUCCGGGAAGCCAAAGAUAGCUUGCAUCUUGAUGCAUCAGUCAUCAAAGUGUUUCCCAUCAAACACUAGUAAUGGCCCACGUAUACUCAAAUGCCUACCAUCCCUUUCUUGCUGAACUCUUGCAAUUUCUUUGAUUUUCACACAUCCAAAAAAACCUUCUUUCUCCUCUUUUGGAUACACACAAUUCCAAUCACCAAUCACACACCCACUUCACACACCAGGAACCACCAAACUUGUGCUCUUGAUACCAUAUUAGAUGUGAGGGCAUAAAAGGAAAAGUAUGUGACAUUUUAAAUGUUAUAUUAAAACACAAACACUUUGGCAAGAGAGAGAAACACGUUUUCAGAAUCUGAUGGCUUGAGAGAAGACAGAGAAAAUGAACCCUCAUGCUAGGGUUUUCAAACCACCACCCACACUGGCUAGAGAAACAAAAAAACACACUCACUGGAACACUGAAACACAACGUAGAGAGAAAACAUAGGCACUCACAAGGAGUGACAAAAAAAAGUUUAGUUUGGCGGGCCAAUCCAGUUAAGAAGAGUGGGUUGAGACUACUUUUCAAUGAAGCAGUUCCACAUCAUUAAAAAGUUAAAUGUAAGGAAAUUAUUCUCGUUCAAUCUGACGACUCUACAUCAUUAUAAAAAAAUCUAAAUGUAAAAAACUCAUCCUUGUUCAAUCCUACGACUCUACAUCAUUAUAAAAAAAUCUAAAUGUAAAAAACUCAUCCUUGUUCAAUCCUAUAAGUUAAUCCGGCCAGUUUCACAUUUGCAUCUGCAUUUGCUUUUAUCAUUGGUUAAAGGAUUUUGAAUAAGUAAUAAUUUGUAUUUCCACCUGGAAACAUGAGUUUCAUGAUUUAGAUGAUGUUGAUGAAGAUGGAAUAAUGGAUGAUGAGAGUUCUCCUAAUAACCCUAGGAAGUAAAAUGAAGAACAUCGAAUGAAAAAGGGUUAAAUAUAUUUUUAGUUCCUGAACUAUCAAGAGAUUUUGGGUUUCGUCCCUCUUUGAAAGGUUUGUUCAUUUUCAUCCUCUUAGCUUGGAAACUCGUAUUUUUAGUCUUUAAAAAUCAAUGACAUUAAGUUUUCUGUGAGGUGGCAAAUGGCGAGCCACUUGUGAUGCCACCUUCCUUGACUACUUUUAAUUGACGUGGCAGUAAAGGUCUGGUAGUCAGUCGGUCUAGUGGGUGGUCGACCACUCGAUCUGGUAGUCGAUCGGCCUGGUGAAUGGUCGGCCUGGUAGUACUUAAAUAAAGGUCAAUGUUUGUGUUUUA